UACGUAGGGUGCGAGCGUUGUCCGGAUUUAUUGGGCGUAAAGAGCUUGUAGGCGGUCGGUCACGUCGAAAGUGCAAACUCAGGGCUUAACCCUGAGCCUGCUUUCGAUACGGGCUGACUAGAGGAAGGUAGGGGAGAAUGGAAUUCCCGGUGGAGCGGUGGAAUGCGCAGAUAUCGGGAGGAACACCAGUGGCGAAGGCGGUUCUCUGGACCUUUCCUGACGCUGAGAAGCGAAAGCGUGGGGAGCAAACAGGCUUAGAUACC
rnacentral:rRNA from 1 species